GAGUUUAUAGUUUAAUUUGAUAAAAACAUAAAUCUUCUAAAUUUAAUAUAUAGGUUUAAUUCCUAUUAAACUCU
rfam:Babesia microti strain RI apicoplast complete genome